rnacentral:tRNA from 1 species
AGUGGGUUGGCAAAGCAAUGCACUUGACUUAGGAUCAAAAGACAGGGGCCCUACCCCUACCCACUA